AUUGAAACACCAGUUUCCACGUGAUCAUUGAAGUUAAGCAACGUUAAGCCUAGUCAGUACCUAUAUGAGUGACCACUUGGGAAUACCAAGUGCUGUAAG